AUAAAUUUUUUAUAUUUUGGAAAUUUUAUUAUAAAUUUAUUUUACAUAUAAAUUUUAGUGUUAAAUUUUAAUUAUUUAAAUAAUAAUUAAUUAUUUAAGUAGUAAUUAAUAUUAAAAAUUUAAGAAAUUAAGAUUUAGUAAUAUAAAAAUUAAUAACUAAUUUUGUGCCAGCAGUUGCGGUUAUACAAAAAUUAAAUUAAAUUAUUUCAGUUUAUAAUAAAUAAUUUUAAUUUAAGGUAAAUAUUAAAUUAUUAAGUGAAAUUUUAAUUUAAUUAAAUUUUAUAUAUGAAUUAUGAUUUAAUAAAUUUUAAUAUAAACUAGGAUUAGAUACCCUAUUAUUAAAAAAUUAAUUUAUAAUACUAAAAUAGUAAGUAAUUAUUUAUUGAAACUUGAAUAAUAUGGCGGUAUUUUAGUUCAUUUAGAGGAAUCUGUUAAGUAAUUGAUAAUCCACGAAUAAAUUUACUUAAUUUUAUAUUUUGUAUAUCAUUGUUAAAAAAAUAUUUUCAAAUAAAGAUAAUAUUUUAAUUUUUAAAAAUAAAAUUAGUUCAGAUCAAGAUGCAGAUUAUAAUUAAGAUUAUAAUGGAUUACAUUAAAAAUAUUUAAAUGAAUAAUAUAAUGUAAAAUAUAUUUGAAGGUGGAUUUAAAUGUAAUUUUAAUUAAUUUAUUAAAAUGAUUAAAAAUUAAAAUAUGUACAUAUUGCCCGUCACUUUCAUUUAAAAAUUGGAAUAAGUCGUAACAAAGUAGAUGUACUGGAAAGUGUAUCUAGAAAGAA
rnacentral:ncRNA from 1 species